rnacentral:rRNA from 1 species
GACGAACGCUGGCGGCGUGGAUUAGGCAUGCAAGUCGAACGGUAUCAUCCUUUCGGGGGUGAGAGAGUGGCGAACUGGUGAGUAACACGUAGGUUAUCUACCCUCAAGACGGGGACAACCCAGGGAAACUUGGGCUAAUACCGGAUGUGAGCAACUUUUAGUUGUUUGAAAGGUGGCGUAAGCUGUCGCUUGGGGAUGAGCCUGCGUCCUAUUAGUUAGUUGGUGAGGUAACGGCUCACCUAGGCAAUGAUAGGUAGGCGGCCUUAACGGGUGGUCGCCCACACUGGGAUUGAGAUACGGCCCAGACUCCUACGGGAGGCAGCAGUCGAGAAUAGUCUACAAUGGUCGGAAGACUGAUCCAGCCAUGCCGCGUGAAGGUUACUGUCCUAUGGAUAUUAAACUUCUUUUGUAUGAGAGCAAUAAGGUGCACGCGUGCACCGAUGAGAGUAUCAUACGAAUAAGCAUCGGCUAACUCCGUGCCAGCAGCCGCGGU